CCUACGGGCGGCAGCAGUAGGGAAUAUUGCUCAAUGGGGGAAACCCUGAAGCAGCAACGCCGCGUGGAGGAUGAAGGUUUUCGGAUUGUAAACUCCUUUUGUUAGAGAAGAUAAUGACGGUAUCUAACGAAUAAGCACCGGCUAACUCCGUGCCAGCAGCCGCGGGAAUACGGAGGGUGCAAGCGUUACUCGGAAUCACUGGGGGUAAAGAGCGCGUAGGCGGGAUAGCAAGUCAGAUGUGAAAUCCUAUGGCUUAACCAUGGAACUGCAUUUGAAACUGUUAUUCUAGAGUAUGGGAGAGGUAGGUGGAAUUCUUGGUGUAGGGGUAAAAUCCGUAGAGAUCAAGAGGAAUACUCAUUGCGAAGGCGACCUGCUGGAACAUAACUGACGCUGAUGCGCGAAAGCGUGGGGAGCAAACAGGAUUAGAUACCCUUGUAGUC
rnacentral:rRNA from 1 species